rnacentral:rRNA from 1 species
GUUCGGAAUUACUGGGCGUAAAGGGCUCGUAGGCGGCCAACUAAGUCAGACGUGAAAUCCCCAGGCUUAACUUGGGAACUGCGUCUGAUACUGGGAGGCUUGAGUGCGGGAGAGGGAUGUGGAAUUCCAGGUGUAGCGGUGAAAUGCGCAGAUAUCAGGAAGAACACCCGUGGCUAAGGCGGCUCUCUAGUACGGUACUGACGCUGAGACGCGAAAGCGUGGGGAGCGAACAGG